GAUGACAAGCACUUUGAAAAGAGGGUGAAAAGAGCCUGAAACCGUUACAGGGGAAGCGGAUUGCGUUGGAUUGAGUGUUGGGAAUCGUAUUCAGCCAUUACGGUGUACUUACGAUUCGCGGCCAUCUGUCGUGGCUUUCUUGUAGCUGAUUUUGAGCUGUGAGAGAGUGAGGGAUCCCCUUUAUGGGUUGAGGACGACAGAGCGACGACGCGAUACGACCCGUCUUGAAACACGGACCAAGGAGUCUAGCACUACUGCGAGUCAAAGGGUGUUAAAACCUGUGGGCGCAGUGAAAGCGAGCUGUAAAAACGAGCAGUUUGAGGCGGCAUAAAAUCGUUGAUUUUAGGUCUGACCUUGAGCAGUUGUGCUGGGACCCGAAAGAUGGUGAACUAUGCCUGAGUAGGGCAAAGCCAGAAGAAAUUCUGGUGGAGGCUCGUAGCGGUGCUGACGUGCAAAUCGCUCGUCGAACUUGGGUAUAGGGGCGAAAGACUCAUCGAACCAUCUAGUAGCUGGUUCCCUCCGAAGUUUCUCUCAGGAUAGCAGGCCGACAGACGUUGUUUUGUGC
rnacentral:rRNA from 1 species